CCUCCCGGGCUGAGGUGGGCGCGCUGGAGCGCGGGAGGGGCCGCCGCGGGCCCGGCCGGCAGCCGCGUUCCUCCCCCUGCGGCACGGCCUUCCUCGCCGCGGUUGUCUCCAGCCCGGGCGCGGAGACCGUGCAGUCCGGCAACGGCAAGAACCAGUUCACGGAGGGAGAAAGAGCACAAGCAGGAGGAACAGCAGGCAGUGGGAGAGGGAGAAGCAGGCUCCUGGCAGAGCAGAGAACCCCAUGUGGGGCUCCAUCCCAGGACCCUGAGAUCAUGACCUGAGCCGAAAGCAGAUGCUCAACCACUGAGUCACCAAGACGUCCCAGCAUGACUGUAGGCUCCACACCCAGCAUGGAGCCCAGCAUGGAGCUUGAACCUACAGCUCUACAAAUAAGACCUGAGCUGAGAUCAAGAAUUGGAUGUUCAAAAGAUGAAUGGAUAAAGAAGAUGCGGUUUAUGUAUACAAUGGAAUAUUACUCAGCCAUUAGAAAUGACAAAUACCCACCAUUUGCUUCGACGUGGAUGGAACUGGAGGGUAUUAUGCUGAGUGAAAUAAGUCAAUCGGAGAAGGACAAACAUUAUAUGGUCUCAUUCAAUUGGGGAAUAUAAAAAAUAGUGAAAGGGAAUAAAGGGGAAAGGAGAAAAAAUGAGUGGGAAAUAUCAGAAAGGGAGACAGAACAUGAGAGACUCCUAACUCUGGG